rnacentral:rRNA from 1 species
UACGAAGGGGGCUAGCGUUGCUCGGAAUCACUGGGCGUAAAGGGUGCGUAGGCGGGUCUUUAAGUCAGGGGUGAAAUCCUGGAGCUCAACUCCAGAACUGCCUUUGAUACUGAAGAUCUUGAGUUCGGGAGAGGUGAGUGGAACUGCGAGUGUAGAGGUGAAAUUCGUAGAUAUUCGCAAGAACACCAGUGGCGAAGGCGGCUCACUGGCCCGAUACUGACGCUGAGGCACGAAAGCCAGGGUAGCGAACGGG